rnacentral:rRNA from 1 species
GGACGAACGCUGGCGGCGUGCUUAACACAUGCAAGUCGAACGGAAAGGCCCUGCUUUUGUGGGGUGCUCGAGUGGCGAACGGGUGAGUAACACGUGAGUAACCUGCCCUUGACUUUGGGAUAACUUCAGGAAACUGGGGCUAAUACCGGAUAGGAGCUCCUGCUGCAUGGUGGGGGUUGGAAAGUUUCGGCGGUUGGGGAUGGACUCGCGGCUUAUCAGCUUGUUGGUGGGGUAGUGGCUUACCAAGGCUUUGACGGGUAGCCGGCCUGAGAGGGUGACCGGCCACAUUGGGACUGAGGUACGGCCCAGACUCCUACGGGAGGCAGCAGUGGGGAAUAUUGCACAAUGGGCGGAAGCCUGAUGCAGCAACGCCGCGUGCGGGAUGACGGCCUUCGGGUUGUAAACCGCUUUCGCCUGUGACGAAGCGUGAGUGACGGUAAUGGGUAAAGAAGCACCGGCUAACUACGUG